UCGUAGGUGAACUGCGAGGAUCAUUA
rnacentral:rRNA from 1 species